GAGCGGAUCUUCUUAGCUUGCUUUUGAGAUCAGCGGCGGACGGGUGAGUAACACGUGGGCAACCUGCCUGUAAGACUGGGAUAACUUCGGGAAACCGGAGCUAAUACCGGAUAAUCCUUUCCCUCACAUGAGGGAAAGCUGAAAGACGGUUUCGGCUGUCACUUACAGAUGGGCCCGCGGCGCAUUAGCUAGUUGGUGAGGUAACGGCUCACCAAGGCAACGAUGCGUAGCCGACCUGAGAGGGUGAUCGGCCACACUGGGACUGAGACACGGCCCAGACUCCUACGGGAGGCAGCAGUAGGGAAUCUUCCGCAAUGGACGAAAGUCUGACGGAGCAACGCCGCGUGAACGAUGAAGGCUUUCGGGUCGUAAAGUUCUGUUGUCAGGGAAGAACAAGUACCGGAGUAACUGCCGGUACCUUGACGGUACCUGACCAGAAAGCCACGGCUAACUACGUGCCAGCAGCCGCGGUAAUACGUAGGUGGCAAGCGUUGUCCGGAAUUAUUGGGCGUAAAGCGCGCGCAGGCGGUUCCUUAAGUCUGAUGUGAAAGCCCCCGGCUCAACCGGGGAGGGUCAUUGGAAACUGGGGAACUUGAGUGCAGAAGAGGAGAGCGGAAUUCCACGUGUAGCGGUGAAAUGCGUAGAGAUGUGGAGGACCCCCAGUGGCUACGCCGCUCUCUGCUCUGUAACUGACUCUGAGGCGCAAACGCGUGUGCAGCGAGCAGGAUUAGAUACCCUGUACUCCAGACCCUACACGAUGAAUGCUGAGGUGUUUAAAGGUUUAACUCCAUGUAACUGCUGCGCGAAGCCUAUUAAGCCAAUUCA
rnacentral:rRNA from 1 species